UAAAAAUGUAUAUACACACAGACAUGUACAUAUGUGUAUAUCCAUCUAUAUAUACAUACAUAAAGAUGUAUACACACACACACACACAUAUGAGGAGGCAAUGCCUACUACUCCCGGAUAUAUUAUAAGUAUCCUCUUAACUGUUGCCAUAUCUUAAUUGCUGUUCGAGCGAAGCAGACUCACAGAAUAUUUCUGAGACAGAAAGACUUCAAGCCAGUAUCAAAACCCAAUAACCAACCCUGAUUCACUAUGGAAGACCAGACUGAAAAUACUUUAAGGAAACUUAUCCCUCAGAAAAGGGCUUUGAGUUACUCAACACCAAAAUGGGAUGAAGGAGUUGACCAUCAAAGGUGUAAAUAUGUGAGAGAUAACGGUUCAAGGAGAGAAAUGUCCGAGAAACGAGCUUCAUCUCAGCCAACAACAAAACAAAAAAGACAUAAAGGAGAC